rnacentral:rRNA from 1 species
UCAGACGAUGCGUCAUGCAUAUCAAUAAGCGGAGGAAAAGAAACUAACAAGGAUUCCCCUAGUAACGGCGAGUGAAGCGGGAAGAGCUCAAAUUUGAAAUCUUAAAGGGUUUCCCUUUACGAAUUGUAGUUUAAAGAAGUGUUUUCUGUUGAGGUUUUGGUAAAAGUUCUUUGGAAUAGGACAUCAUAGAGGGUGAGAAUCCCGUAUUUGACCUUUACUUUCAACUUUGUGAUACACUUUCAAAGAGUCGGAUUGUUUGGGGAAUGCAGUCCAAAAUGGGUGGUAAAUUUCAUCUAAAGCUAAAUAUUGGCGAGAGACCGAUAGCGAACAAGUACCGUGAGGGAAAGAUGAAAAGAACUUUGAAAAGAGAGUUAAACAGUACGUGAAAUUGUCAAAAGGGAAGCGUUUGACACCAGUGUUGUUUUUCUGAAAAUCAAUUAAAGAACUGUUUAUGCUAAGUUGUUUAGACUUUAUCAGCUAACUGUUUAGUUUUGAGCUUUUCUUUAAUGCACUUUUCAGUUAACAAGUCAACAUCAAUUUCUUUUGCUGUAAAAAAGCUUGAGGAAGGUGGCUUGAGAUUCGUCUUAAGUGUUUAUAGCCUCUUGCCUAUGCAGUCGGAGAGAUUGAGGUCUGCAGCGUAGAUCCUUCGGGGCUAAAUGCAUUUGUGCUAAGUUAUAGCAUUUUAUAGACAACUUGUUGACUAUGAUUUGUCUUGUAGCUUACUCGCUUAUGUUAUUUUACCUACGCUUAGGAUGUUGAAUCUGUGCGAGACUAC